rnacentral:rRNA from 1 species
GAUGAACGCUGGCGGCGUGUCUAAGGCAUGCAAGUCGAACGGGUUACCGGAGUCAGCAAUGAUUUUGGUGACUAGUGGCAAACGGGUGAGUAACACAUUAGUAACCUGCCCCGAAGUUCGGGAUAACGGUCCGAAAGGACCGCUAAUACCGGACGUGAUCCAUCGAUGAUUUCGAUGGAGGAAAGCCCAAAAGGCGCUUCGGGAGGGGCUUAUGGCCUAUCAGCUAGUUGGUGAGGUAACGGCCCACCAAGGCUACGACGGGUAGCAGGCGUGAGAGCGCGACCUGCCUCAGUGGAACUGAGACACUGUCCACACUCCUACGGGAGGCUGCAGUCGAGAAUCUUCCUCAAUGGGCAAAGCCUGAAGGAGCGACGCCGCGUGCGGGAUGAAGGGCUUCGGCCUGUAAACCGCCUUUUUUCGGGAA